rnacentral:lncRNA from 10 species
UCAGAUGCCUUGCAGGAAUGUGGGAUAAAGUGCUCAGAAUGUUCCCUGGCAGAUAGUAUAGGCUUGUUUUCCGUGAAGAGCCUGUAACUGCCACUUGGUUCCCCUUCCACCCCUGACAUUAGGAAAUAGUUGUGCAAUGGUUGUUACUCUCAGGGUGGUCACUUAGGCAAACUCCAGAGGAGGGUGUACUUCCACUGAUUAUCCUUCUAGCCCCUUUCCCCCAAAUCCCCAAGGAAGGCUGGGAAUCAUCAAAAUGGAGUUGGCCUUUACUUGUCAACAAUUGAGUAAAUCCUAAAUACGGACGAACACCCAAGUAGCUCCUGAAUUACAAUUAAAGGAAAAACAUUUCUUAAAAUGGAAGGUGUAUGUACUUUGUAGCGGAUAUUCUGUAAUCUCAGUCACAGGGCCAUGUCUUACUCUAUAUUGCUAGUGUCUGGCCCUUGAGACCAGCUUGUUGCUCAGAUUGGACACAGACAGCAACACUGCCACUGACUACCUGGGUGAGAAGGUGGGCAAGUUAGCCAGCCUCUCUGGGCCUCAGAUCUUGUGUAAAAUAGGUAUAACACCUACCUUACAGGGUUAUUUUCAGAAAUUAAAGAUAGUAUAUGUAAAUCACUCAGCAU